GGAGAAGUAGUUAAACAAUUCUGUGUCAGCAAAUUAUUUGGAUUCCAAUUUUACAAACAUGUUCUCUUGUUUCACUUUCCUUUCCUUUCCUUUCCUUUCCUUUCCUUUCCUUUCCUUUCCUUUCCUUUCCUUUCCUUUCCUUUCCUUUCCUUUCCUUUCCUUUCCUUUCCUUUCCUUUCCUUUCCUUUCCUUUCCUUUCCUUUCCUUUCCUUUCCUUUCCUUUCCUUUCCUUUCCUUUCCUUUCCUUUCCUUUCCUUUCCUUUCCUUUCCUUUCCUUUCCUUUCCUUUCCUUUCCUUUCCUUUCCUUUCCUUUCCUUUCCUUUCCUUUCCUUUCCUUUCCUUUCCUUUCCUUUCCUUUCCUUUCCUUUCCUUUCCUUUCCUUUCCUUUCCUUUCCUUUCCUUUCCUUUCCUUUCCUUUCCUUUCCUUUCCUUUCCUUUCCUUUCCUUUCCUUUCCUUUCCUUUCCUUUCCUUUCCUUUCCUUUCCUUUCCUUUCCUUUCCUUUCCUUUCCUUUCCUUUCCUUUCCUUUCCUUUCCUUUCCUUUCCUUUCCUUUCCUUUCCUUUCCUUUCCUUUCCUUUCCUUUCCUUUCCUUUCCUUUCCUUUCCUUUCCUUUCCUUUCCUUUCCUUUCCUUUCCUUUCCUUUCCUUUCCUUUCCUUUCCUUUCCUUUCCUUUCCUUUCCUUUCCUUUCCUUUCCUUUCCUUUCCUUUCCUUUCCUUUCCUUUCCUUUCCUUUCCUUUCCUUUCCUUUCCUUUCCUUUCCUUUCCUUUCCUUUCCUUUCCUUUCCUUUCCUUUCCUUUCCUUUCCUUUCCUUUCCUUUCCUUUCCUUUCCUUUCCUUUCCUUUCCUUUCCUUUCCUUUCCUUUCCUUUCCUUUCCUUUCCUUUCCUUUCCUUUCCUUUCCUUUCCUUUCCUUUCCUUUCCUUUCCUUUCCUUUCCUUUCCUUUCCUUUCCUUUCCUUUCCUUUCCUUUCCUUUCCUUUCCUUUCCUUUCCUUUCCUUUCCUUUCCUUUCCUUUCCUUUCCUUUCCUUUCCUUUCCUUUCCUUUCCUUUCCUUUCCUUUCCUUUCCUUUCCUUUCCUUUCCUUUCCUUUCCUUUCCUUUCCUUUCCUUUCCUUUCCUUUCCUUUCCUUUCCUUUCCUUUCCUUUCCUUUCCUUUCCUUUCCUUUCCUUUCCUUUCCUUUCCUUUCCUUUCCUUUCCUUUCCUUUCCUUUCCUUUCCUUUCCUUUCCUUUCCUUUCCUUUCCUUUCCUUUCCUUUCCUUUCCUUUCCUUUCCUUUCCUUUCCUUUCCUUUCCUUUCCUUUCCUUUCCUUUCCUUUCCUUUCCUUUCCUUUCCUUUCCUUUCCUUUCCUUUCCUUUCCUUUCCUUUCCUUUCCUUUCCUUUCCUUUCCUUUCCUUUCCUUUCCUUUCCUUUCCUUUCCUUUCCUUUCCUUUCCUUUCCUUUCCUUUCCUUUCCUUUCCUUUCCUUUCCUUUCCUUUCCUUUCCUUUCCUUUCCUUUCCUUUCCAUUUGAAACAGAAACACACCUUCAGAAUUACGAAUUUGAGAAUAUUUUAAAACAUUUGGGGUAGGUAAAAGCA
ensembl:lncRNA